GUGUCAGCCGCCGCGGUAAUACCGGCAGUCCGAGUGAUGGCCGAUCUUAUUGGGCCUAAAGCGUCCGUAGCUGGCUGAACAAGUCCGUUGGGAAAUCUGUCCGCUUAACGGGCAGGCGUCCAGCGGAAACUGUUCAGCUUGGGACCGGAAGACCUGAGGGGUACGUCUGGGGUAGGAGUGAAAUCCUGUAAUCCUGGACGGACCGCCGGUGGCGAAAGCGCCUCAGGAGAACGGAUCCGACAGUGAGGGACGAAAGCUAGGGUCUCGAACCGGAUUAGAUACCCCAGUAGUCC
rnacentral:rRNA from 1 species